CAGUCGCCACGGGAAAACCGAGGGUGCAAGCGUUAAUCGGAAUUACUGGGCGUAAAGCGCGCGUAGGUGGUUUGUUAAGUUGGAUGUGAAAUCCCCGGGCUCAACCUGGGAACUGCAUCCAAAACUGGCAAGCUAGAGUAUGGUAGAGGGUGGUGGAAUUUCCUGUGUAGCGGUGAAAUGCGUAGAUAUAGGAAGGAACACCAGUGGCGAAGGCGACCACCUGGACUGAUACUGACACUGAGGUGCGAAAGCGUGGGGAGCAAACAGGAUUAGAUACCCCGGUAGUCCCUGUCUCUUAUAC
rnacentral:rRNA from 1 species